rnacentral:rRNA from 1 species
UACGUAGGCAGCAAGCGUUGUUCGGAAUUACUGGGCGUAAAGGGCUCGUAGGUGGCCAACUAAGUCAGACGUGAAAUCCCUCGGCUUAACCGGGGAACUGCGUCUGAUACUGGAUGGCUUGAGUUUGGGAGAGGGACGCGGAAUUCCAGGUGUAGCGGUGAAAUGCGUAGAUAUCUGGAGGAACACCGGUGGCGAAGGCGGCGUCCUGGACCAACACUGACACUGAUGAGCGAAAGCCAGGGGAGCAAACGGG